rnacentral:rRNA from 1 species
GUUGUUGUCGUGUCGGUAGCGGCGGCAGUCGUGAGGGUGUGAGGGUUACUUGGAAUUACGUGGCGUAAAGCGUGCGUUGGUGGUUUGUGAAGUCGGAUGUGGAAGCCCUGGGCUCAAGCGGGGAAGGGCAUUGGAUACUUGCAGGCUAGAGUGCGGUAGGGGGUAGUGGAAUGCCCGGUGUAGCAGUGAAAUGCGUAGAGAUCGGGAGGAACAUCUGUGGCGAAGGCGACUACCUGGACCAGCACUGACACUGAGGCACGAAAGCGUGGGGAGCAAACAGGAUUAGAUACCCUAGUAGUC